GGCGCCUCGGGCGCCGCUCCGGAUGCUGAUUGGUGGGGUCUGGGGAGGGGGGCGUGCUCUUUACGUCCCUGGGAGGUGAGGAGAAAGUAGGGGAGAGCGCCGGGGAGGGGCGGCUGCCGGGGCCGGCUUCGUCUGAGCGCUAGGCCUGUGAUUGGAGCAAGUGACCAGGCCUGGGUCUCCUCGGCCUGGUAGUGAGGCCCACCGAAGACGGGGUCAGGGUGGCCACAGGUUCACGCCCCCGUCUCCCAGCCUUUAAUGGCCCCAGGCCCGCAUCCUGAGAAUCCCCGCUGUCCACCCCCUUCUCACCAACAUCAGCAAGAAAAGCUGGACGCGAUGGAAGGAUGCAGCUUUCCCAUCACAGCCCGCCCAACCAGCCAGUGGCUUCCGUUUGCACCGCGCGUUGGAACGCUUUCUCCUGUGCGAAAUCCACACAAACCCUGAGGUUCGGGGAGGCUGUGGUUCCUGCUGUGACAUUGUUUGCCUUCUCUGAAAGAUGGGAUUUCACAUUCUUGUACCUCUUCACCCCGGAAGGUAGAAUAAUGGCUCUCCAAACACAUCCAUGCUCCCCAACCCCUCCAGACCUGUGACUCUGUUACCUUAUGUGGCAAAAGAGACUUUGCAGAUGCAAUUGAAGCUAAGGACCUUGAAAGGAGAGAGUAGCUUGGAUUAUUCAGGUGGGCCCAAUCUAAUCCCGCGAGUCCUUAAAAGCAAAAGGCAGAAGAGGGAGCUGGAGACACCACGAAGAAGAGGAAGGAAAGAGUUGAAGUGUGAGAGGGACUCUACCCGCUGCUGAUGACUUUGAGAUGGAAGAAGGUGCUGUGAGUCAAGGACUGUGGGUAGCUUCUGGGAGUUGGAAACGGCCCCCAGCUGAUAGCCAGCAGAGAAACGUGACUGUAGUCAGUCCUACCCUUCCCUGCAAGGGGCUGAAUUCUGCCAAUUCUGUCAGUGAGCAAGCAAGUGGAUCCAUCCGCCCCAGUGCCGCCAGAAAGGAAUCCAGCCCUGCCCGAACCUCAGUUUUAGCCGAGGAAGACCGUCGUCUGAUUUCUGAUCUCCAUGUAGGAUGUGCUGGCUUCCCCUUCACCUUCUCCCAUGAUUGUAAGUUUCCUGAGGCCUCCCCAGCCAUACUCCCUGUACAGCCUGCAGAACCGUGA
rnacentral:lncRNA from 1 species